rnacentral:rRNA from 1 species
UACGGGGGGGGCAAGCGUUGUUCGGAAUUACUGGGCGUAAAGGGCUCGUAGGCGGCCAACUAAGUCGGAUGUGAAAUCCCCAGGCUCAACCUGGGAACUGCAUCCGAUACUGGAGGGCUUGAAUCCGGGAGAGGGAUGCAGAAUUCCAGGUGUAGCGGUGAAAUGCGUAGAUAUCUGGAGGAAUACCGGUGGCGAAGGCGGCAUCCUGGACCGGCAUUGACGCUGAGGAGCGAAAGCUAAGGGAGCAAACGGG